UACGUAGGUCCCGAGCGUUGUCCGGAUUUAUUGGGCGUAAAGCGAGCGCAGGUGGUUUAUUAAGUCUGGUGUAAAAGGCAGUGGCUCAACCAUUGUAUGCAUUGGAAACUGGUAGACUUAAGUGCAGGAGAGGAGAGUGGAAUUCCAUGUGUAGCGGUGAAAUGCGUAGAUAUAUGGAAGAACACCAGUGGCGAAAGCGGCUCUCUGGUCUGUAACUGACGCUGAGGUUCGAAAGCGUGGGUAGCAAACAGG
rnacentral:rRNA from 1 species